GUGCUCGCUUCGGCAGCACAUGUACUAAAGCCGGAACAAUACAGAGAUUAGCAUGGCCCCUGCGUGAGGAUGACAUGCAAAUCUGUGAAGCGUUCCACCAAAAA
ensembl:snRNA U6 U6 spliceosomal RNA